rnacentral:rRNA from 1 species
UGGGGAAUUUUGGACAAUGGGGGAAACCCUGAUCCAGCCAUCCCGCGUGUGCGAUGAAGGCCUUCGGGUUGUAAAGCACUUUUGGCAGGAAAGAAACGUCGUGGGUUAAUACCCCGCGAAACUGACGGUACCUGCAGAAUAAGCACCGGCUAACUACGUGCCAGCAGCCGCGGUAAUACGUAGGGUGCAAGCGUUAAUCGGAAUUACUGGGCGUAAAGCGUGCGCAGGCGGUUCGGAAAGAAAGAUGUGAAAUCCCAGAGCUUAACUUUGGAACUGCAUUUUUAACUACCGGGUUAGAGUGUGUCAGAGGGAGGUGGAAUUCCGCGUGUAGCAGUGAAAUGCGUAGAUAUGCGGAGGAACACCGAUGGCGAAGGCAGCCUCCUGGGAUAACACUGACGCUCAUGCACGAAAGCGUGGGGAGCAAACAGGAUUAGAUACCCUGGUAGUCCACGCCCUAAAACGAUGUCAACUAGCUGUUGGGGUCUUCGGACCUUGGUAGCGCAGCUAACGCGUGAAGUUGACCGCCUGGGGAGUACGGUCGCAAGAUUAAAACUCAAAUGAAUUGAC